UAUUUUAAAGAGAGUUUGAUCCUGGCUCAGGACGAACGCUGGCGGCGUGCCUAAUACAUGCAAGUCGAACGAACGGAGGAAGAGCUUGCUCUUCCAAUGUUAGUGGCGGACGGGGGAGUAACACGUGGGCAACCUGCCUGUAAGUUGGGGAUAACUCCGGGAAACCGGGGCUAAUACCGAAUGAUAA
rnacentral:rRNA from 1 species